rnacentral:rRNA from 1 species
GAUGAACGCUGGCGGCGUGCCUAAUACAUGCGAGUCGAGCGAACAGACGAGGAGCUUGCUCCUCUGACGUUAGCGGCGGACGGGUGAGUAACACGUGGAUAACCUACCUAUAAGACUGGGAUAACUUCGGGAAACCGGAGCUAAUACCGGAUAAUAUAUUGAACCGCAUGGUUCAAUAGUGAAAGACGGUUUUGCUGUCACUUAUAGAUGGAUCCGCGCCGCAUUAGCUAGUUGGUAAGGUAACGGCUUACCAAGGCAACGAUGCGUAGCCGACCUGAGAGGGUGAUCGGCCACACUGGAACUGAGACACGGUCCAGACUCCUACGGGAGGCAGCAGUAGGGAAUCUACCGCAAUGGGCGAAGGCCUGACGGAGCAACGCCGCGUGAGUGAUGAAGGUCUUCGGAUCGUAAAACUCUGUUAUUAGGGAAGAACAAAUGUGUAAGUAACUAUGCACGUCUUGACGGUACCUAAUCAGAAAGCCACGGCUAACUACGUG